rnacentral:rRNA from 1 species
GACGGGGGAUGCGAGCGUUAUCCGGCAUGAUUGGGCGUAAAGGGUCCGCAGGUGGCCCGGUCAGUCCGCUGUCAAAGCCUGGGGCUCAACCCUGGAGAGGCGGCGGAGACCACCGGGCUUGAGUCCGGUAGGGGCAGAGGGAAUUCCCGGUGGAGCGGUGAAAUGCGUAGAGAUCGGGAAGAACGCCAAGGGCGAAGGCACUCUGCUAGGCCUGAUUUCGCGACUGACACUCAGGGACGAGAGCCAGGGGAGCGAAUGGG